GAUGAACGCUGGCGGCGUGCUUAACACAUGCAAGUCGAACGGAAAGGCCGAAGCUUGCUUCGGUACUCGAGUGGCGAACGGGUGAGUAACACGUGGGUGAUCUGCCCUGUACUUCGGGAUAAGCUUGGGAAACUGGGUCUAAUACCGGAUAUGACGAUCUCUUGGAUGGGGUUGUGGAAAGCUUUUGCGGUAUGGGAUGAGCUCGCGGCCUAUCAGCUUGUUGGUGGGGUAAUGGCCUACCAAGGCGUCGACGGGUAGCCGGCCUGAGAGGGUGUACGGCCACAUUGGGACUGAGAGACGGCCCAGACUCCUACGGGAGGCAGCAGUGGGGAAUAUUGCACAAUGGGCGCAAGCCUGAUGCAGCGACGCCGCGUGGGGGAUGACGGCCUUCGGGUUGUAAACUCCUUUCGCAAUCGACGAAGCCUUUUGGUGACGGUAGGUUGAGAAGAAGCACCGGCUAACUACGUG
rnacentral:rRNA from 1 species